rnacentral:rRNA from 1 species
UACGGGGGGGGCAAGCGUUGUUCGGAAUUACUGGGCGUAAAGGGCUCGUAGGCGGCCAACUAAGUCAGACGUGAAAUCCCUCGGCUUAACCGGGGAACUGCGUCUGAUACUGGAUGGCUUGAGUUUGGGAGAGGGAUGCGGAAUUCCAGGUGUAGCGGUGAAAUGCGUAGAUAUCUGGAGGAACACCAGCGGCGAAGGCGGCACUCUGGGCUGGUACUGACGCUGAGGAGCGAAAGCGUGGGUAGCAAACAGG